AUUGAACGCUGGCGGCAGGCUUAACACAUGCAAGUCGAGCGGAGAUGAGGUGCUUGCACCUUAUCUUAGCGGCGGACGGGUGAGUAAUGCUUAGGAAUCUGCCUAUUAGUGGGGGACAACAUUCCGAAAGGAAUGCUAAUACCGCAUACGUCCUACGGGAGAAAGCAGGGGAUCUUCGGACCUUGCGCUAAUAGAUGAGCCUAAGUCGGAUUAGCUAGUUGGUGGGGUAAAGGCCUACCAAGGCGACGAUCUGUAGCGGGUCUGAGAGGAUGAUCAGCCACACUGGGACUGAGACACGGCCCAGACUCCUACGGGAGGCAGCAGUGGGGAAUAUUGGACAAUGGGGGGAACCCUGAUCCAGCCAUGCUGCGUGUGUGAAGAAGGCCUUAUGGUUGUAAAGCACUUUAAGCGAGGAGGAGGCUACUGAGACUAAUACUCUUGGAUAGUGGACGUUACUCGCAGAAUAAGCACCGGCUAACUCUGUGCCAGCCGCCGCCGUAAGAC
rnacentral:rRNA from 1 species